CUUAUUAAGGAAUUCUGGAUUUACUGUGCAGAUGGUUGUUCAUCAAGCCCUGAUGAUGCAGUAGUGGUUGAUGGAAAUAUGGCUCACCGAAGACCGAAAUCAUCUUUAUUCAUGAGCAGCAAUCUGUAGAUCUAAGUGGCACAGCUGGAUCAUACUACUACUGUCAACUUGUGUUACUUAAGAUUCAUAAUUGACGGUAUCCACAAAACAGCUUCUACAUAAUUUGUGAUUCACUUGCAUGUUCCUCCACAAGAUGUGGAUCUCUUUUUUCUUCGUAGUUUAGGAUACCUUGUGACCCAAAUCUCACCUUUUCUUUUUUUUAGCAACAUAGUCCUAUGAAAUCAUGUCAGACAUCUGCUUUCCAAUCUAUUUGUCGUCCUCCUAUUGAGAUAAUUUGUGCUCUUGUUUCUUUGUUAUGUCCUCUUUUGCAAUGAAAUGGGGACAUUUCACCCUACCAAUCAUGCAAUCCAA